rnacentral:lncRNA from 1 species
ACCACAAAUACCACAUAUCUUGAGAGAAGGCAUAUACCAUCAAUGCCUUGGUAAGGAUCCAGAAAUACCACAAAAGAGAGACCUGAGAGAAUCAUAUAAGGAAUCUCUGAGUUUUAUUUGAAAAUCUGCAAAAACCCCAGAGCUAUAGCUGAUCAAGAAUAAGAGACAUGGCACUUGGCUAGACUGUUCUAUCUUUUAACCACUCA